AACGAACGCUGGCGGCAUGCCUAACACAUGCAAGUCGAACGAGAACAUCGGGUCUAGUGGCGUACGGGUGCGUAACGCGUGGGAACCUGACCUUAGGUUCGGAAUAACUCCCUGAAAGGGGUGCUAAUACCGGAUAAGGUCUUCGGACCAAAGAUUUAUCGCCUUUGGAUGGGCCCGCGUUGGAUUAGCUAGUUGGUAGGGUAAAAGCCUACCAAGGCGACGAUCCAUAGCUGGUCUGAGAGGAUGAUCAGCCACACUGGGACUGAGACACGGCCCAGACUCCUACGGGAGGCAGCAGUGGCGAAUAUUGGACAAUGGGCGAAAGCCUGAUCCAGCAAUGCCGCGUGAGUGAUGAAGUCCUUAGGGUUGUAAAGCUCUUUUACCCGGGAUGAUAAUGACAGUACCGGGAGAAUAAGCUCCGGCUAACUCCGUG
rnacentral:rRNA from 1 species